AGUGAAGAAAUUGGAGGUGAGCGUCGUGCUGAAGUCGUGUCGGGGUUGGGCUGCGUUAAAACAUUUGAAGAUAACCAUGUGGGAAUAUCCGGCAGAAAUGGUGGAAUUUAUCGAGGGGCUUUUACAAGGCAGGGAAUUGUUUAAACGGCUAGCAACGUUAGAAAUUGUGACGCUCCGUUUUCGUUGGGAUAACGGGAGACACUUAACACGAAAUUUUACCGAAGAUGAGAUAGUUCUGUUUAAGCAACUGUUGGCGGGCUUAACUUAAAUCCAGAAUCUACGAAUAUUAUAAUGGAUUUCAUUGCAUCGAAUAAGAUGUCGUCGUCCAAAUUCAGGAUGAUUCCGGGGGAAAUAUGGUAACGAGUAGUAAUGUAUCAAGUGUGUUUGUAAUGAAAUGUACAUAUUAGCAAGUACUAAUUUUCUGGGUAAUUCGUACUUCGUUUUUUAUUAUGAAUUGAGCAAGCAUUGUAUUUUC